rnacentral:lncRNA from 1 species
CUUUCCAAACCUACUUCCUCCUAUUUUGUGUCUUUUUCUCUAUUCUGUGCGUUUUCUUUCUGACAGCUUAACUAAUACCCUACUUCAUUUCAUAUUUUCCCUUCUCCUCCGUCAAGAAUUUCCUCCUCCUCCAUUUUGAACCCUUUAACGUUACCACUCCCAUUCGACUGGCAAGACUGCAUCCACAAUAAUCGAAGUCAUUUCCACUUCUUUCUCUGACUAUCCAUUUUUCGUUCUAUAGAAUAAAUCGAAAGAGGUAAAAAUACUUCUAAUUUUCUAUAAAAUUUAAAUAUUUUGAAUAAUUUCUGAUGUAAUUGUGUUAUGACUGGAAUCGAUUUUAAUCCGAGGAAAAAAUUGUUAGGUUUGAUUUAAUGUGUAACCCUCUUCAUGUUCCCUUAUUUAUUUAAUUGUUUAUUUUUUCAUCUUUUGGAGUGUAUUGUGAAUUUUAGUUUGGAAUCGAAGACAAUUUUUUCAUUGACAAAUUGCUAGCCUUAUUGGAUUUUUUUUGUCUUCUCAUUUUCCCCAAACUUGAUAGGUUACUAUACAUUUUUUCAUCAUUGUUGGAUACUGCAAGGAUCUUUUACAAAAUGGAGGGGCCCUCAAAUGCCAUUGAUGUAAUUGAGAAAAAAGAAGUGUUGGUGACGAAGAAGCGGUGCUUGACGCUCAUUCGAACACCAUCGGUGUUAAAACGGACUCCGUAUAAUAGAUGUGGAGAAAAGAGAGAAAAAACCUUUACGGCAUGUUUGAGCCACAUUAUUUCAAAAUAUAUAUAUUCUUAAAUAGUAAUUUGACAUCGUUUUAAUCACAUAUUUAUCAAUAAAAUAAUAUUAUACGUAAAUUCAAAACUUUAAUUUAUAUUUUAACCACACAUUUUCCAUCAAUUCACUAUUCAAAAUGCAUUCUAAGGAAAAUAAUGUGGUUCAAACAAGGGCCAAGUAAUAUGACCUUUUUGAUUGAAAAAUAAUGUGAACCUUUUUGAACUUGUAUUUGUUGUAUUUUAAAACUUUCAAAGUCCAUGUCUAGUUUUUAUAUUUAUGUGGAAAACAAGUAUGUCAUUUUAAGAUUUGUGUAGUUUAUGUUAGUGUACGAAAAUAUGAUUUUAUUGUGUAGUAGAUAGUAUUUCGUAGCAAUUUUAACAUAAUGUAUAGUAGAAUCGAGAGAGCCAGAGAAAAACUAUUGAGAUCUACAUUUCAACUGUUUGGCUUGAAUGUUAUGUAUUUCGAUCGAUGGUAUAUUCACGUUUUGGACUUCGAAUUUUAAUAGGAUUUCAGUGCAUGGAUCAUAGGAUUUCAGUGUAUGGAUGAAUAGUACAUGUCCUAAUAGGGUGAUAUUAAUU